UGUCAUUACAUUGUUUGCAUUUUAUCACGCAAUUACAGAACUGAUCAAUAACUAAAGAAUGAUCAACUGACCGUGGAUCAGUGAUAAUGAAUGGACAGAGCGCAUUGAUUUGAGAACGUGGAAGAGCUCCCGAUGGUAAAGAGAGCAACCGGUUGGCCCGAAAAAUCCGUCACAACACGAGGGAUGAGAAAUGCGCGGGAAAGUGGCGAAACGUGACAUGAAUUACGAAGUGGAACUGUCAAAUGUCCGGGGAGCCACGUGCGCCCAUCGACUGUCGAGAAUGAAGGGUUUUUGGACCUCCAGUCAUUCAAUUUUUCGCCUUCACUUGAACAAUUACAGAUUUUAUCAUCCUGAUCAAUUUCAAUUUUUUUCAUCCUAUCGAGUCAUAUCUUAGUCUAAUUUUAAUUCAAUUUUCCCAAUAUUAAUUUUAUUUUAUCUUCAAAAAUAUUCUUGGAGAAUUAUUGAUUCUUAAUUUGUACAUUAUACACUUAUUCUGUACUUUUCAACAAUUUUUUACAUAAAUAUAGACUUAUAGUUUUUUCCUCGCAUUUAUUAUUGACGUAAUAUAAUAGGGUGAAUUUAAUAGUUCUCUCAGUUGUCAACUAUUUGAAAAACUGAUAAAACUGAUAUUCAUCUGGAUAGGCGAAGAGAAAGAGAAUUCAGGUUUAUGUUAAAUUAUGUUUAUUAUACGGAUGUAUCUAUGUUAUAUAUUUACAAUCGUUUUUCAUCUUUUUCAAAUACACGUAAAACAAUGAAGACAAUAAUUAGUUCAUAUAAUCGUGGCUCAACGGUAUUCGGACUGUGGGCCUCCGAUCCAGUGAGUCUAAUCACUUUUCCUAGUAUUCACUCAUCGUAUCGCACAUAAAAUUCGCAAUUCAAAUUUACUCAAUCAAAGAAAUUUCAUUGAGAAUUUCAACGCUGCCAAUUUAAUUCUGUCUCUUUAUUUUCUUCGUUCCUGCGGGAAUAAGAUUGCAUCAUUCUUAUCAGCAUUUGUUACGUAGUAUUUAAAACAUAUUUUGCACACGUUUCUGUAUCUCUGAAUAUUAUUUCUUGUCGCUUAUCACUCGAGGACGGAUCGUGCCAGAAACCGAAGUUUGACAAUUCAUUAAUUAUUUUUACAUUUUUUUUUUAGACAUCUACUUUACUCGGAAAUUCGUUGAUCAUUUCAUCGAUUCGAUACGCAGAAUAAAAAUCAUUAAUUUCAGGCACCGACACGUGACUUUGAAUUUCAAUUGUUACCAUUGGUGUGAUAAUGAUAAUCUCAUCCCUGCAGUUACUCAGAAAAAUUCAUUGGAAAAUGAGGAUUUUUUUUCACCCCGCAACCGUUAAUUCAGUGAAUAAAGGUCACUUUCAGCAGUUUUUGUAACACUAAAGCUUCGUAUGGAAAUGAAAAAAUUGGUAUUGCUAAUUAGAAAGGAUAUUUGAUUGGAUUUUGUGACUAAAUAUAACGAGAGAAUCAUUCAUUCAAUCACAAAAUCUUCACUGUUUUAUAAAGCUCUCCAUGAGAACCCUUAUAAAACUUUUCCUCCCUUCCCCAUCCCUCCAUUGAUUAUCCUCUGAUAAUUCAGUAGAGAAAUAGUAAAGCAGGAAACGAAGUCUUCGUUUACAAGAAAAUGUUCAAUUAUUUUAAAGAUGGGAGUUGUUGAGAGAGAAAUGUAAAAAAAUGCGGUGAGACUUUCAAGUUAAAAAUAAAAUUGUUGAAAUAUUUUCAAUAUCAUAAAGAAUUAAUUUUGCAGACAUCUGAAGAACACGUGGUUCUAGUAAGAAAAAUCCCUUAAACUAUUCAUAAAAAAUUAUUCUGAUAUUUUACAAUGAACCCAAGAGCCCCAAAGAUAUUUGCAAAAUAAUGAACAAGAGAAAUUAGAGACGAAUUUCCAAAAUCACAAGAUUGAAGCUGUAUUAUUCAUUAUCCCCCAGAUAUCUAAAAAAUUUCUCCACAUUCUCUCUCUGCCAACUCUUUAGCUAAUGACCUCUCACUCGAAAAAAAAAA